GCCACCACGUCUGGCCUCCUGGGAUAUUUCUCAAUGAAACAUUGGAUGCCACGAUUGGUUUUGUGCCACAUGCCAAUUUCACAGAAGCCAGUCUAUGAGCCACCAGCUCUACUCAGCAAUUACAGCUUCCGGAACUUUGGCUAAAUUCUCGUAGAUGCACCACUGCUUGUGGCCUGACUCUUUGCCACCCAAGUGUGCUCAGCCUCCCCUGGGGAGUCUGCCAGGCUUGCAUGGCUCCCACUGCACUUGCUGUGCUGGGACCGAAAACAGUUUUUGUGCCCCUAGCUUAACUCCACUGGAUUCAUAGAGGCUUUGGCCUCCUCAAUGGCUGUCCUGGGACAGGGAGGCUGGUUAGCACAAUUAACACAACCUGGUCAUGCAAGGCAUUGAUGGUCCGUAACAUGAACUUUGACCAGUAGGAGACAGAGAAUGGAAAAAAGCCAGCAGAUAAAUCAUCUGGCCUUCCUCCCCUAUGACGGACUGUUCUGAGCCACUGUGUUUCACAUGUUUCACAUGUCUUCCCUGGAGAUGUCCCACAUGACUUGAGCAACCAGCUGGAGCUCUAGAGAAACUGUGGCCAUCCUGAGGAAGAAACAGGCCCAGAGAAGUUGGGUAACUCAUCAAAGGUCACAGAGCUAAGAGUGGCAGAGUCAGGCUUGGAGCCCAGGAAGUCUGGUUUCGAAUUUCAUGCUUCUAACCUGAGCACUGUACUGCUUGGUGGAGUUCUCUGCUAGUCCUACCUUUCAGGCAGAGGUGAUGCAGCGAGAAAGCUGCCACCAGAUGUAGCCCCUUGAUCUUGGACUGCCCAGCCUCUAGAACUGUGAGCCAAUUAAAUUUUUCCUUUGUAAAUUA
rnacentral:lncRNA from 1 species